rfam:Hordeum vulgare subsp. vulgare, WGS project CAJW01000000 data, contig: morex_contig_221198
AAUAUACUCCCUCCAUCCCAAAAUUAUUGUCUUAUAUUUGUCUAGAUAUUAAUGUAUCUAGUCAUGUUUUAGUAUUUAGAUACAUUCAUUUCUAAACAAACCUAAGACAAGAAUAUUGGGACGGAGGGAGUACUAU